GCCGUCGUAGCUCAGUUGGUAGAGCAGCUGAUUUGUAAUCAGCAGGUCCGGGGUUCAAAUCCUCGCGGCGGCACCA
rnacentral:tRNA from 1 species